rnacentral:rRNA from 1 species
CCUGCCAGACCUGACUGCUAUCGGAUUGAUACUAAGCCAUGCGAGUCGUUGUAGCAAUACAAGGCAUACGGCUCAGUAACGCGUAGUCAACCUAACCUAUGGACGGGAAUAACCUCGGGAAACUGAGAAUAAUGCCCGAUAGAACAUUAUGCCUGGAAUGGUUUAUGUUCCAAAUGAUUUAUCGCCAUAGGAUGGGACUGCGGCCUAUCAGUUUGUUGGUGAGGUAAUGGCCCACCAAGACUAUUACAGGUACGGGCUCUGAGAGGAGUAGCCCGGAGAUGGGUACUGAGACACGGACCCAGGCCCUAUGGGGCGCAGCAGGCGAGAAAACUUUGCAAUGUGCGAAAGCACGACAAGGUUAAUCCGAGUGAUUUCUGCUAAAGAGAUCUUUUGUUAGUCCUAGAAACACUAACGAAUAAGGGGUGGGCAAGUUCUGGUGUCAGCCGCCGCGGUAAAACCAGCACCUCAAGUGGUCAGGAUGAUUAUUGGGCCUAAAGCAUCCGUAGCCGGCUCUGUAAGUUUUCGGUUAAAUCUGUACGCUCAACGUACAGGCUGCCGGAAAUACUGCAGAACUAGGGAGUGGGAGAGGUAGACGGUACUCGGUAGGAAGUGGUAAAAUGCUUUGAUCUAUCGAUGACCACCUGUGGCGAAGGCGGUCUACCAGAACACGUCCGACGGUGAGGGAUGAAAGCUGGGGGAGCAAACCGGAUUAGAUACCCGGGUAGUCCCAGCUGUAAACUAUGCAAACUCAGUGAUGCAUUGGCUUGUGGCCAAUGCAGUGCUGCAGGGAAGCCGUUAAGUUUGCCGCCUGGGAAGUACGUACGCAAGUAUGAAACUUAAAGGAAUUGGCGGGGGAGCACCACAAGGGGUGAAGCCUGCGGUUCAAUUGGAUUCAACGCCGGA